GUAAUAAUCAGUGCCAUUGUGUUCUUUAUCAGUCAUUUGACUUAUCAACACAGUAUUUAGGUGCAGAAAGGGUCUUUGAACCCCCAGAACUCCACAUAAUUUUUAGGUACACCAAUCUUGGGGGCAUUAACUCCUCUUUUUAGACCUUUGUCCCCUUUAAAAGUAUACAUGCAUGAUAAUUAUGCUGAUCAAAAAAACUCUUUUUCCUGAUUAGAGUUCAUGUAGAAUUUUGUGCGCAGUGCUCAUUCAAAGCCCUGCUUCACUUCAUCGUAAGCCAGAUAGUUUACAAAUCGAAUCCAAAAUAGAUAUAAUACCUUUUUCAUAUUCUAAAUAGGUGAGACAAUUAGAGAUUAUAAUUUUAAGGUCACAAUAGGGCUAUAUUUAGACCAACACCUCAUAAAAUUGUGUCCAACUCUUUGAAAGCACAUUUAGCAAUUAUAUUUCUUGAUGAUUCCUCAACUCUAAGAAACUACAAUGACAAUAAACAAACCCCUCGAUUCAAAAUUUUAUUUUUGGUAUUAAUUGCUUAAUUGAUAGAAUCCAAACACAUAUCACAUCAGUUGGUGCUAUCCUUACAUUAUAAAUGUAGACAAAAACUUGAUAGCAUAAUUGUAUUAUUUUUCCUUCAUUACCCCAGUUUCCUUCCAGAGAUCACAAUAAGUGUAACGGUACUUAAAUUCAGCAUGGUUUAAAUUCAAAAUGGACCAUUUGUGAUUAAAGAUCAAUAUUUGAAACUUUUGGGGCCAUAAAUUGAUUUUUGUCCAUUUAAUUACAGCUUUAACCAAAGUAGCUGUAAUAUGUGCAUUGGACCUGAUUACCGUGGUAACAAGUACACUUUGUACUGGAGAGACUGAAAUAAUUGCAUUGCUGUCGUGUUCUUCUGCUUAGAGAGGGUUUAAUUCAUGUCCAAUUUGAAGAUUAUGUUUUAACUUGGAUUGAAUAGUAUUAAUUGUAUAGAACUACUUGAUGACCUCAUUUAAAAUUUUGUAUUAUGCUAUAUGAAUUAUUUAUUAAAUGUUACUCAAUUCU
rnacentral:sRNA from 1 species